rnacentral:piRNA from 1 species
UAUAAGGUGGUAUAAUGUUUAAAGGUC